rnacentral:misc_RNA from 1 species
AUAUUUUUGAAUUAAUUUUUUAAAUUUUAAUUAGGAGUGAGUCGAAAAUGAAUAUAUUUUUAAUAAACUCUCAUAUUUGACAAAAAAAAAUUUAUACAUAUUGAUUUACUCAAAGGCUGAAUUAUUAAUAUUUAUACAUCUUAAGAGACUUAUUGUUAUAGGUAUUCUGAACUUAUGAUUCAUAUAAAUUUAUGUGGGAUUUGUGAAUUUGUUAGGAGGAUAAUGUUAUUGGUGGUUUUAGGUAGAAAGAGAUAAGGUGGAAUUAUUCAAGUGAGGCUGCAAAUUGCAUAUGAUAGAUCCAUAGGAAGGUAAUAUAUUCCAUUUAUUAAAGAGGAAAGGUCUAAUCAACUUGUAAUAUUCUGAGGCAACCAUUGACUUCAUGAAUAAGCUCAUUUUUCUGUUUCAGAUUCCAAUGUAAUGAAAACUUAAUUAAUUUGUGUAAGUUAAUUAAGAGGAUAAAAGAAAGCUAUUAUAUUAUAUUAGAUCUCUAUGAGCCUAUCAAAGCUAAUAGCCGCCUUAAUCACUGCAUCAAUAAACAAACAUAAGAUACAAGUAAUGAAGCGAAAUGGGUGUUUAAUUUAUAAUGGAAAAA